rnacentral:rRNA from 1 species
GGAAGGUUAAUCAAAGAGGGUAAUAAUCCCGUAGACGAAAUAGCGCUUAUACCUAGCAGUAUCCUGAGUAGGGCUGGACACGCGAAAUCCAGUUUGAAUCCGGGAGGACCAUCUCCCAACCCUAAAUACUCCUUAGUGACCGAUAGUGAACCAGUACCGUGAGGGAAAGGUGAAAAGAACCCCGAGAGGGGAGUGAAAUAGCACCUGAAACCGUGUGCCUACAAGAAGUUCGAGCCCGUUAAUGGGUGAGAGCGUGCCUUUUGUAGAAUGAACCGGCGAGUUACGUUAUGAUGCGAGGUUAAGUUGAAGAGACGGAGCCGUAGGGAAACCGAGUCUGAAUAGGGCGACUUAGUAUCAUGAUGUAGACCCGAAACCUAGUGACCUAUCCAUGAGCAGGGUGAAGGUGUGGUAAGACGCACUGGAGGCCCGAACCAGGACACGUUGAAAAGUGUUUGGAUGACUUGUGGAUAGCGGAGAAAUUCCAAACGAACUGGGAGAUAGCUGGUUCUCUCCGAAAUAGCUUUAGGGCUAGCGUCGAAAUGUAAGUGUAUUGGAGGUAGAGCACUGUUUGGGUGAGGGGUCCGUCUAGGAUUACCAAUCUCAGAUAAACUCCGAAUGCUAAUACACAUGUUCGGCAGUCAGACUGCGAGUGCUAAGAUCCGUAGUCGAAAGGGAAACAGCCCAGACCAACAGCUAAGGUCCCAAAAUAUAUGUUAAGUGGAAAAGGAUGUGGGGUUGCACAGACAACUAGGAUGUUAGCUCAGAAGCAGCUAUCAUUCAAAGAGUGCGUAAUAGCUCACUAGUCGAGUGACCCUGCGCCGAAAAUGUACCGGGGCUAAACAUAUUACCGAAGCUUUGGAUUGAUAUUUUAUCAAUGGUAGGAGAGCGUUCUUAACCGCGAUGAAGGUAUACCGUGAGGAGUGCUGGAGCGUUAAGAAGUGAGAAUGCCGGUAUGAGUAGCGCAAGAUAAGUGAGAAUCUUAUCCACCGUAAGACUAAGGUUUCCAGGGGAAGGCUCGUCCGCCCUGGGUUAGUCGGGACCUAAGGCGAGGCCGAAAGGCGUAGUCGAUGGACAACUGGUUGAUAUUCCAGUACUAGAUAUGAUCGUGAUGGAGGGACGCAGUAGGCUAAGAGAUGCCAGUUAAUGGAUUCUGGUCUAAGCAGUGAGGUGUGAGAUGUGUCAAAUGCAUUUCUCUCUAACAUUGAGCUGUGAUGGGGAAGCAACUACGGUUGCGAACUCUCUGAUGUCACACUGCCAAGAAAAGCUUCUAGCGUAAAGUCAUAUCUACCCGUACCGCAAACCGACACAGGUAGUCGAGGCGAGUAGCCUCAGGUGAUCGAGAGAACUCUCGUUAAGGAACUCGGCAAAAUAGCCCCGUAACUUCGGGAGAAGGGGUGCUGGUGUAAAAGCCAGCCGCAGUGAAUAGGCCCAAGCAACUGUUUAUCAAAAACACAGCUCUCUGCUAAACCGCAAGGUGAUGUAUAGGGGGUGACGCCUGCCCGGUGCUGGAAGGUUAAGAGGAGUGCUUAGACGUAAGUCGAAGGUAUGAAUUGAAGCCCCA